GAGAAAUGUUUCUCCACAGCAAGGUCCUUGGCACCAUCUAAGGACAUUCAGUCGUACAGCACAGAGGCAAGAAUUGGAGGACAGCUGAACAAGGACAGAGAUACACUCAAUGGCUUCCUUAAUUGAGCAAUUUGUGACUUUCAUCGCACUGAUCCUCACUGCAAGGUGAAUUCAACCCCUACAAGCUCAGAAUGAACAAGGCAACUCGAGGCAAAAGGUAUAGCUUACCACAUGCUGCAGUGGUCCUCGUCAUCCUCACACAAGUUUACGACUCCAUCAACAGGAAGGUGCUAUGGAGAAUUCCUUUUUUCGCAAAUUUAUAUUUCCCUGGUCCUCAUUAUCAUUCUCCAUUUGUUACUCCGUGACCUGAAACAAUCGCAGGACAAAUUGGGAAGUUGUGGUGCUUUCAGCACAGAACCAAGACUGAGCCAGCU